rnacentral:rRNA from 1 species
UCCUACGGGGCGCAGCAGUGAGGAAUAUUGGUCAAUGGGCGGAAGCCUGAACCAGCCAAGUCGCGUGAGGGAAGAAGGCCCUGCGGGUCGCAGACCUCUUUGGACGGGGAGCAAGGCCGCCGACGUGUCGGCGGAAGGAGAGUACCCGUAGAACAAGCAUCGGCUAACUCCGUGCCAGCAGCCGCGGUAAUACGGAGGAUGCGAGCGUUAUCCGGAUUUAUUGGGUUUAAAGGGUGCGCAGGCGGAAGAUCAAGUCAGCGGUAAAAUUGAGAGGCUCAACAUCUUCGAGCCGUUGAAAAUGGUUU